UACGGGGGGGGCGAAGCGUUGUUCGGAAUUACUGGGCGUAAAGGGCUCGUAGGCGGCCAACUAAGUCAGACGUGAAAUCCCUCGGCUUAACCGGGGAACUGCGUCUGAUACUGGAUGGCUCGAGUUUGGGAGAGGGAUGCGGAAUUCCAGGUGUAGCGGUGAAAUGCGUAGAUAUCUGGAGGAACACCGGUGGCGAAGGCGGCAUCCUGGACCAACACUGACGCUGAUGAGCGAAAGCCAGGGGAGCAAACAGG
rnacentral:rRNA from 1 species